CAGGUAUCUGUUACCGUGGCUACUAAACCAUACAGGUAUCUGUUACCGUGGCUACUAAACCAUACAGGUCUUUGUUACUGUGGCUACUAAACCAUACAGGUCUUUGUUACCGUGGCAACUAAACCAUACAGGUCUUUGUUACUGUGGCUACUAAACCA